rnacentral:rRNA from 1 species
UACAGAGGUGGCAAGCGUUGUUCGGAAUUACUGGGCGUAAAGGGCGCGUAGGCGGGUUUCCAAGUCGGGGGGUGAAAUUCCAGGGCUCAACCCUGGGACGGCCUUCGAUACUGGGAGCCUGGAGAUCGGGAGAGGUGAGUGGAAUUCCUGGUGUAGCGGUGGAAUGCGCAGAUAUCAGGAGGAACACCAAUAGCGAAGGCAGCUCGCUGGGACGUUACUGACACUGAGGCGCGAAAGCGUGGGGAGCGAACAGG